rnacentral:misc_RNA from 1 species
GAUGAAGAAACGCAGCGAAAUGCGAUAAGUAGUGUGAAUUGCAGAAUUCAGUGAAUCAUCGAAUCUUUGAACGCACAUUGCGCCCUUUGGUAUUCCUUAGGGCAUGCCUGUUCGAGCGUCAUUUAAACCUUCAAGCUAAGCUUGGUGUUGGGUGACUGUCCGCUUCACGGCGGACUCGCCUCAAAAUUAUUGGCGGCCGGUACAUUGGCUUCGAGCGCAGCAGAAACGCGAACUCGGGCCCGUCGUAUUGGCUCCCAGAAGCUAUCUUCACAAUUUUGACCUCGGAUCAGGUAGGGAUACCCGCUGAACUUAAGCAUAUCAAUAAGCGGAGGA